CCUACGGGAGGCAGCAGUGAGGAAUAUUGGUCAAUGGGCGCGAGCCUGAACCAGCCACGCAGCGUGAAGGAUGACUGCCCUACGGGUUGUAAACUUCUUUUAUAAGGAAUAAAGUGAGGCACGUGUGCCUUUUUGCAUGUACUUUAUGCAUAACGAUCGGCUAACUACGUGCCAGCAGCCGCGGUAAUACGGAGGAUCCGAGCGUUAUCCGGAUUUAUUGGGUGUAAAGGGAGCGUAGAUGGGUUGGUAAGUCAGUUGUGAAAGUUUGCGGCUCAACCGUAAGAUUGCAAUUGAUACUGGGAGUCUUGAGUACAGGAGAGGUAAGCGGAAUUCGUGGUGUAGCGGUGAAAUGCGUAGAUAUCACGAGGAACUCCGGUUGCGAAGGCAGCUUACUAAACUGCCACUGACGUUGAUGCUCGAAAGUGUGGGUAUCAAACAGGAUUAGAUACCCCUGUAGUC
rnacentral:rRNA from 1 species